AUUGAACGCUGGCGGCAUGCCUUACACAUGCAAGUCGAACGGUAACAGGUCCUCGGAUGCUGACGAGUGGCGAACGGGUGAGUAAUACAUCGGAACGUGCCUAGUAGUGGGGGAUAACUACUCGAAAGAGUGGCUAAUACCGCAUGAGAUCUACGGAUGAAAGCAGGGGAUCGCAAGACCUUGUGCUACUAGAGCGGCCGAUGGCAGAUUAGGUAGUUGGUGGGAUAAAAGCUUACCAAGCCGACGAUCUGUAGCUGGUCUGAGAGGACGAUCAGCCACACUGGGACGGAGACACGGACCAGACGCCUACGGGAGGCAGCAGUGGGGAAUUUUGGACAAUGGGCGAAAGCCUGAUCCAGCAAUGCCGCGUGCAGGAUGAAGGCCUUCGGGUUGUAAACUGCUUUUGUACGGAACGAAAAGCCCCGGGUUAAUACCCUGGGGUCAUGACGGUACCGUAAGAAUAAGCACCGGCUAACUACGUGCCAGCCGCCGCAGUAA
rnacentral:rRNA from 1 species